GACGAAGGAUGCAAGCGUUAUCCGGAUUCAUUGGGUUUAAAGGGAGCGUAGGUGGCCUUAUAAGUCAGCGGUGAAAUCUCUGGGCUUAACCCAGAAAUUGCCAUUGAUACUGUAGGGCUUGAGUACAGUUGCUGUGGGCGGAAUAUGACAUGUAGUGGUGAAAUACAUAGAGAUGUCAUAGAACACCGAUUGCGAAGGCAGCUCACAAAACUGUAACUGACACUGAGGCUCGAAAGUGCGGGGAUCAAACAGG
rnacentral:rRNA from 2 species